rnacentral:lncRNA from 1 species
GCUGUUUUCCCUUCCUGUUGUACCUAAUGGUCUCUUUGUCCUCUUGUCCCUCUCUGGGUUUCCACCAGAGGGCAGAACCAACCCACCUAAUUCCCAGCUUGCAGCUCUCUUCUUCAGUGUUCCAGAUGAAACUUUGGAUUUCUUUCAAAUGGUUGGGAUUUCAUCACUCCGAGAAUUGUUGCUGAGGGUGCCCACAGCCAAGCUUCGAGUUAGAGCGCCGCUCUGCUAUUCAUCCUUUCUGUGCCUUGGAGAGGUCUCUGGUUUCUCCCUCUGGGCAGCAAGUUUUCAUCCUUGUAGAAUAGGCCUUUUGGGUGACUGGCUGCCUGGAAAAAGAGUAAAAAGAUGCUCAAUAAAGCCACUUGUUUGGGGGAUCAGGCACGAGUAUGAAAGUCCACUUGUAUGUGUUCUUUCCACCCACUCUACCGUCCACCUGGAAGGCAUCUGUCAAGACUACAUUCUGCUCUAUGCAUGAAUCAUCAAGACAUGUUUCUUAAAUCCAAGCUGGAGGCGAGAAGCCAGGCAGAAAUCCAUGGAACUGUCAUUCUGCAGGACAGAUGUCUCGGCUUGGGUUAUAAAACUCCCCUGCUUAUGGAAAGUCAAAGAAACUUGAAGUGAUGUUUGCAUAUAUGGUCCA